CCACGAGAGCAGCAACCCAAGAGAGCGAUAAUUGGACGCAGCUCCCUCAUAUGGGCAGGGGCUGGACUAAAGCUUAUUGGUCCAUACGGAUGUCAAUCACCAUUACAGAGAAUGCUGGGUAACACGUGACCCAAGGACCUCCUAAGGUCCUACAACAUACCAUAGAGGAUACUAACCUGGUCACAUGAUCGAAGGUCUUGCAACGCUGAACAAGUGACCUGUAAGAUCCUGUCUAGUAAAUCCUUCCUACCACCAAGUGAGCAGACGUUCAGAUCAGACACAGACCUGAGGACAUCAGACGCUCAGCACAUCAAUAAGAUAAAGAAGCUUGGACCAUCUCAACCAACCCAACUCUUCCAAGGCUCAUGUGGUUGUGACACCAAUGGCUCUGAAACUUUCUAUACUAUUGUUGCUACUUUCUGGAUGUACUGUUUCGGAAAAAUCCCUUCCUUACAACAGCGCACCCUUGGAUUUUGGAUAUGUACCUACUGGAAGUUAUGACACCAAUGCCUACCAUGAGCCGGGACCUAUAGGCUUGUUGUUUCAUCUAGUGCAAGGAUUUUUGUAUAUCGUGCAGCCAAAUGCAUUUCCUCAAGACUUAGUGAAACGAAUAGCGGAGCAGAAGUUUGGUGAAGCGCGCAAUGACUAUCAAAAGCCGGAGAACGUUGUCCUGACUCUGCAGACCAUACACUAUGAGAUCGGCUUCAUUGUGGCCGCUGCUCUGGGACUCCUCUUCUUCUUCUUGAUGCCUCUGGUCGGAUUGUGUUUCUGUAUGUGUCGAUGUUGCGAUAACUGUGGAGGAGAAAUGCAUCAAAGACACAAGAAAAAUGCAGAAUGCCAGAGAGGAUGCCUUGCCACCUUCCUCUUUGUGACGGCAAUGAUAAUAAGUCUUGGCGUCCUCUGUGCAUUUGCAGCCAAUCAGAAUCUCACGGACCAAAUUCGUGGAUCAAAAAAACUGGUACAAAGCAACUUUAAGGACCUGAAGACCUUGUUGGCGGAUGCUCCACUGCAAAUUGACUAUUUAUUGAACAAGUUCAACAUUACCAAGGAGAAGGCUCUGGCCGAACUGAGCAAUGUUGGGCCUCUGCUGGGUGAGCGUGUCCAUGAGCAGCUAGGGAAAGAAGUCCGUCCUGCAUUUGAUGGCGUUCUCAACAUGGCCGGAGCCAUCAAGGAGACCAAAGAAGCUUUGGAGAAUGUCAGCGUGUCUGUGGAAGUCCUUCAAGAAGCAAUGGACCGGCUACACGAAAAUUUAACCGAUGCCAAAAUACAGCUGAACUCCACAUUGAGUGAUCCGGCAUGCUUCACCAACGUGGCACUGAUUCCCUGUCAAAAGAUCAAGAACUCACUUUCCCAACUGAGGGUCAAUGCCAACUUCAGUUCGUUGCCAGACAUAAACCAACAUCUUGGCAAAAUAAACAACGUUCUCAAGACGGAUCUCAGUAAUUUGGUACAAAAGGGUUAUGCUGCUUUCAAUCAUACUCCGGAAAUGGUGCAAAACCAAACAAAAAAUAUAGAGGAAGAUGUAAAGAACAUUUUGGAUUCCAUUGGAGUAAAUAUCACUACCUUUUCCAAAAUGAUCCCAGUUGUUCAUAUAAUAUCCAACCUCACAACCUACUUAACUCAAAGUGAGGCGUAUGUCCGGGAGUAUUAUCCUGUGGUCGAACAGUAUGAUUCUUACAGGUGGCUGGGAUCUCUUGUCCUCUGUUGCAUGGUGUCACUUAUUGUCGUUUUCUACUUCCUUGGCCUAUUGUUUGGUACUUGUGGCUAUGACCAACAUGCUUCUCCAACCACGAGAGGCUGCAUCUCAAAUACCGGAGGGAACCUUAUCAUGGCCGGAGUUGGCUUCAGUUUCAUCUUCUCCUGGGUUCUCAUGCUUAUUGUGAUUGUUACAUUCCUGGCGGGUGGAAAUGUAGAGAAGCUGGUGUGUGAACCUUUCCAAGACAAGACUUUGUUUAAGGUUCUGGAUACUCCAUAUCUGCUGAACUCACAGUGGAAAAAUUACCUCUCCGGAGUCCUGUAUCAAAAUGCCAACAUGAAUCUCACCUUUGAAAAAGUCUACAGUGACUGCAAGGAUAACAAGGGCAUAUUUACAGCUUUUCAGGUUGAUAAUCUGUUUAAUCUCAAUGAAUUCUUAAACAUCAGCAUGUAUGUCGAUGAAAUAUCAGAUCGGAUUGAGAUGAUGAACAUAAACCUGAAGAAUAUAGUUUUGCUGGACCAAAAAGGAAGAAGGAAUUUAGAAGACUUUAGUGCUACAGGAAUAGAUACAAUAGACUUCGAUGCAUUUUUAGCAGAAGCAGGCAAAAGCAGUACUAAAGUGGAUCUCCUGGCAUUCGCCAAUGAACUGGAAGGGAAUGCUGACUUGCUGCCCAGAGGAGCAUUAGGAAAUGCUAUAAAAGGACACGCUAAUAGUAUACGGAUGAUACACAUUCAGCAAGUCGUACCAAUGGAGCAGACAAUGAAAUAUGUUAAAGCCCGGAGUGUUUUAAAUCAAAGUAUUAAAUUGCUUGAGAGGACGUCAUUUGAUAUUGAGGAAAAGGUGCAUGAUGUCAUUUCAUCCAUUGAUGCAGCUCAAACACUGAUCAAUAAUAAUGCUUCUACAAUUAUAAAGCAGGAAUCUAAAAAGUUUAUGGAUACAGUGAUCGGCUAUUUUGUUCAGUAUGUUCAGUGGGUGAAAGAUUCAAUCGCCCUGGAUGUUGCAGGAUGUAAACCAAUUGCAAAUGUAGUAGACACUGCUGUAGAUGUCUUUUUAUGCAGCUAUAUAAUAGAUUCAGUGAAUUCCUUCUGGUUUGGUUUGGGAGGCUCUACAAUCUUUUUAAUUCCUGCUAUUAUUUUUGCUAUCAAGCUAGCAAAGUUCUAUCGUAGAAUGGAGACAGAAGAUGUUUAUGAUGAUGUUGAAACUGUCCCCAUGAAAAAUAUGGAAAAUGGUAAUAAUGGUUAUCAUAAUGAGUAUUUGUAUGGUAUACGCAAUCCUAUAAUGACCAGCCUAUCUUCAUUUGACACUGUGAGUAGAUUCCCUCGAGCUUCUGCCCCACCACGUCAAGAUGAUUGAUGAAACCUAUCAGGUGUUUGAGAUCGCGGAGUGCUAUGGAACAGUGGUAGAAGACAAUGAAGAUUCUGGGGCAGCAUUAUACACUGAGAUCACUCAACUUCAGUCUCUGCAGAGUGUAAGCUUUUUUUUUUGUAAUCCAUAAGACAUGAAUGCCUGACAGACAGUAAACCUUCACAGUCUUCAAAAAUGUCCUUUCCGGGAAGAAGUACAUGUGGACUGUAGAGAAACUCAUACAAGUUCCAUAUUUUGUGACACUACUUUUAAUGCUACUGUAUGUAAAUCUGUCACUGCCAAGAAGUAAUGCUAUGCAUAGCAGAACUAUGGGGUUAAGUACAAGUGUUUACACUAGUACUAAUUUUUGUAUGACAAACUUUUGUAUUUAUACUCACUAUUUAUUAUGGUAUUUUAGUUACAUGUUCUGUAAAAAGAGGAAAAAAAAACCUAAGAGUAAUGGCGUACCAUGUCAGUUUGUAUAUCUUCACUUGUAUGGUCAGUAAACAUUGUUUAAUAACCUCUA